AGAUUGAACGCUGGCGGCAGGCCUAACACAUGCAAGUCGAGCGGUAGAGAGGUGCUUGCAUCUCUUGAGAGCGGCGGACGGGUGAGUAAUGCCUAGGAAUCUGCCUAGUGGGUGGGGGAUAACGUUCGGAAACGGACGCUAAUACCGCAUACGUCCUACGGGAGAAAGCGGGGGACCUUCGGGCCUCGCGCCAUUAGAUGAGCCUAGGUCGGAUUAGCUAGUUGGUGAGGUAAUGGCUCACCAAGGCGACGAUCCGUAACUGGUCUGAGAGGAUGAU
rnacentral:rRNA from 1 species